rnacentral:rRNA from 1 species
CGGGUGAGUAAUGUCUGGGAAACUGCCUGAUGGAGGGGGAUAACUACUGGAAACGGUAGCUAAUAUCGCAUAAUGUCGCAAGACCAAAGAGGGGGACCUUCGGGCCUCUUGCCAUCGGAUGUGCCCAGAUGGGAUUAGCUAGUAGGUGGGGUAAUGGCUCACCUAGGCGACGAUCCCUAGCUGGUCUGAGAGGAUGACCAGCCACACUGGAACUGAGACACGGUCCAG